rnacentral:rRNA from 1 species
UUAAGCGACUAAGCGUACACGGUGGAUGCCCUGGCAGUCAGAGGCGAUGAAGGACGUGCUAAUCUGCGAUAAGCGUCGGUAAGGUGAUAUGAACCGUUAUAACCGGCGAUUUCCGAAUGGGGAAACCCAGUGUGUUUCGACACACUAUCAUUAACUGAAUCCAUAGGUUAAUGAGGCGAACCGGGGGAACUGAAACAUCUAAGUACCCCGAGGAAAAGAAAUCAACCGAGAUUCCCCCAGUAGCGGCGAGCGAACGGGGAGCAGCCCAGAGCCUGAAUCAGUGUGUGUGUUAGUGGAAGCGUCUGGAAAGGCGCGCGAUACAGGGUGACAGCCCCGUACACAAAAAUGCACAUAUUGUGAGCUCGAUGAGUAGGGCGGGACACGUGGUAUCCUGUCUGAAUAUGGGGGGACCAUCCUCCAAGGCUAAAUACUCCUGACUGACCGAUAGUGAACCAGUACCGUGAGGGAAAGGCGAAAAGAACCCCGGCGAGGGGAGUGAAAAAGAACCUGAAACCGUGUACGUACAAGCAGUGGGAGCCUCUUUUAUGGGGUGACUGCGUACCUUUUGUAUAAUGGGUCAGCGACUUAUAUUCUGUAGCAAGGUUAACCGAAUAGGGGAGCCGAAGGGAAACCGAGUCUUAACUGGGCGUUAAGUUGCAGGGUAUAGACCCGAAACCCGGUGAUCUAGCCAUGGGCAGGUUGAAGGUUGGGUAACACUAACUGGAGGACCGAACCGACUAAUGUUGAAAAAUUAGCGGAUGACUUGUGGCUGGGGGUGAAAGGCCAAUCAAACCGGGAGAUAGCUGGUUCUCCCCGAAAGCUAUUUAGGUAGCGCCUCGUGAAUUCAUCUCCGGGGGUAGAGCACUGUUUCGGCAAGGGGGUCAUCCCGACUUACCAACCCGAUGCAAACUGCGAAUACCGGAGAAUGUUAUCACGGGAGACACACGGCGGGUGCUAACGUCCGUCGUGAAGAGGGAAACAACCCAGACCGCCAGCUAAGGUCCCAAAGUCAUGGUUAAGUGGGAAACGAUGUGGGAAGGCCCAGACAGCCAGGAUGUUGGCUUAGAAGCAGCCAUCAUUUAAAGAAAGCGUAAUAGCUCACUGGUCGAGUCGGCCUGCGCGGAAGAUGUAACGGGGGCUAAACCAUGCACCGAAGCUGCGGCAGCGACGCUGAUGCGUUGUUGGGUAGGGGAGCGUUCUGUAAGCCUGUGAAGGUGUGCUGUGAGGCAUGCUGGAGGUAUCAGAAGUGCGAAUGCUGACAUAAGUAACGAUAAAGCGGGUGAAAAGCCCGCUCGCCGGAAGACCAAGGGUUCCUGUCCAACGUUAAUCGGGGCAGGGUGAGUCGACCCCUAAGGCGAGGCCGAAAGGCGUAGUCGAUGGGAAACAGGUUAAUAUUCCUGUACUUGGUGUUACUGCGAAGGGGGGACGGAGAAGGCUAUGUUGGCCGGGCGACGGUUGUCCCGGUUUAAGCGUGUAGGCUGGUUUUCCAGGCAAAUCCGGAAAAUCAAGGCUGAGGCGUGAUGACGAGGCACUACGGUGCUGAAGCAACAAAUGCCCUGCUUCCAGGAAAAGCCUCUAAGCAUCAGGUAACAUCAAAUCGUACCCCAAACCGACACAGGUGGUCAGGUAGAGAAUACCAAGGCGCUUGAGAGAACUCGGGUGAAGGAACUAGGCAAAAUGGUGCCGUAACUUCGGGGAGAAGGCACGCUGAUACGUAGGUGAAGUCCCUCGCGGAUGGAGCUGAAAUCAGUCGAAGAUACCAGCUGGCUGCAACUGUUUAUUAAAAACACAGCACUGUGCAAACACGAAAGUGGACGUAUACGGUGUGACGCCUGCCCGGUGCCGGAAGGUUAAUUGAUGGGGUCAGCGCAAGCGAAGCUCUUGAUCGAAGCCCCGGUAAACGGCGGCCGUAACUAUAACGGUCCUAAGGUAGCGAAAUUCCUUGUCGGGUAAGUUCCGACCUGCACGAAUGGCGUAAUGAUGGCCAGGCUGUCUCCACCCGAGACUCAGUGAAAUUGAACUCGCUGUGAAGAUGCAGUGUACCCGCGGCAAGACGGAAAGACCCCGUGAACCUUUACUAUAGCUUGACACUGAACAUUGAGCCUUGAUGUGUAGGAUAGGUGGGAGGCUUGGAAGUGUGGACGCCAGUCUGCAUGGAGCCGACCUUGAAAUACCACCCUUUAAUGUUUGAUGUUCUAACGUUGACCCGUAAUCCGGGUUGCGGACAGUGUCUGGUGGGUAGUUUGACUGGGGCGGUCUCCUCCUAAAGAGUAACGGAGGAGCACGAAGGUUGGCUAAUCCUGGUCGGACAUCAGGAGGUUAGUGCAAUGGCAUAAGCCAGCUUGACUGCGAGCGUGACGGCGCGAGCAGGUGCGAAAGCAGGUCAUAGUGAUCCGGUGGUUCUGAAUGGAAGGGCCAUCGCUCAACGGAUAAAAGGUACUCCGGGGAUAACAGGCUGAUACCGCCCAAGAGUUCAUAUCGACGGCGGUGUUUGGCACCUCGAUGUCGGCUCAUCACAUCCUGGGGCUGAAGUAGGUCCCAAGGGUAUGGCUGUUCGCCAUUUAAAGUGGUACGCGAGCUGGGUUUAGAACGUCGUGAGACAGUUCGGUCCCUAUCUGCCGUGGGCGCUGGAGAACUGAGGGGGGCUGCUCCUAGUACGAGAGGACCGGAGUGGACGCAUCACUGGUGUUCGGGUUGUCAUGCCAAUGGCACUGCCCGGUAGCUAAAUGCGGAAGAGAUAAGUGCUGAAAGCAUCUAAGCACGAAACUUGCCCCGAGAUGAGUUCUCCCUGACCCUUUAAGGGUCCUGAAGGAACGUUGAAGACGACGACGUUGAUAGGCCGGGUGUGUAAGCGCAGCGAUGCGUUGAGCUAACCGGUACUAAUGAACCGUGAGGCUUAACCUU